GGAAAUAAAGUCAUCAGCUGAGAGUGAGAAGGACUGCAGUGGAGUUUUGAGGAGAAGAUACGGAAUAUUGAUCUGAGAGAAUUGGGAGUGAACAAACUAGAGAAAUAGAUGGAAAAACAGUCCACAUUAAGGAUCCAAUUCCAGAGACCAGAUAUCUGAAAUCAGUUUCACUGAGUCAAAAAUUGAGGUAUCCCACAGGACCGUGCUCUCUCCGUCUGGAGGCUGUAGAAGAGAAUUCUUCCUUCCAGUAGCAUAUAUACAUAACUAUCAAUGAGAGAAGUGGAACAUGGCUGGUAAAUGGGGACUCAGCUUCAUACAUACUCAUUCUAAUACCCUGAUCUCCAAUGUUAUUGCCUCAUGGCAGAAGAAAAGGCAGUUCUUGAGGAAUGCAAAUGGGCUAUUAAGUGCUGUAGCCUAGAAGUGACAGGCGGCACGUCCACUGCCUACGCGCCUGCCUUCCCUACCAGUGGGGCCAGGCGGUGACAUUCUGCCCUGUGCUUGGAAUGAGCAGAAUCAACAAUGUUUUUGGUGAACAAUACUA